AGACGUGCCUGCUUCUCCUUCAUCUUCUGCCAUAAUUAUGAAGAAAAGGAGGCUCAGAGAGUUUAAGAAACUUACCCUCCUCACACCAUGGAUAACAGGCAGAGCCAAAAGCAAAUGCAGAUGAAGACGUUGAUGCUCAAAAGUCGCUAAUGAGAAGCUGAGCCAAGAGUCAGAUCCAAAGUCCUUCCAGCUCUGAAGCCUGCAUUGUUUCCAACGCAUGAUGUUGUCUGAAUGGCUCAGUGAUGGCUUGGCUGAAGAAGACUUCAUGAUCACUCCCAUUUUGAAGAUCAGCACAUUGAGGUUCAGAGUGGUGAAAUGACUUGAAGUUCCUGUGGAGAGUAAAUGGGAAACAUCAGAGGAAUGAUUUGAACCCUGGUCUGUCCACCUUCAGUGCCCAUAUUUUGUCCUCCAUGCUUUGAAGCACAAAUCAUGAUUCAGGUGAAGAAAGAUAUUUUAAGAGCUAUGAAGAUUGCUGGUAUUCUCAACAACAAGAGCUCUGUGGUCACAUACUGUCAAGGUCUUUACUUCUUAACACAAGGACAUGCCAAGGCAGUACUGCAAGACAGGGAGACCUCGUCAGAAUUCAUUCAUCUGAGUUCAACAGCAUGUAUUGAGUACCCACUGCAUGCCCCAACCUUGCUAAGGAGCAAGGGAUAAAAAUGUGAGCUGAGCCUGAUUUACAGGCAAAGAUUCAAUGAUUUAUAAUACAAUAUGAUGACAUCAUAUGAUAACAGUGAUCAGAAUGAUGUGUUUUAGGAAUGCAAUAGAAAAAGGACAGAUUCUGCCCAGAGACAUUGGAGGUGUUACUCAAACAGGAAGGAAAAUGCCACAUACUCUUACCAGUUCUUGAUGCCAGAGAUUACUAAAGCAAUUUGGAAAGAUAUCGAAAAGGUGUUGAGAAAAUACAGUGUUUAGGCACAUGAGAGAAGAUGAGGAACCAGGACAGGAAAUGGCAGCGUUUCCACCAAAGGUCAAGGGGAACAUUAAUGGGCUACAUUCCAGACCCAAGGCUGACGAUCUUCUUCAAAGGAGUCAGUGGUGGAAACACAGACUCAGAGCCACUCCCAAAAGGGGUGUCAGUCUCCACUGUGACUGACCACAAAACCCUGCAGGAAAGAGGCUGUGGGUUUUCCUGCGUGGUCCCCAGACCCUAAUAUGCCCAUGUGGCUGCCUAAUACACAUCUCUAUUUAAAAUGUUCAGAAUCUGUGUACUUGGAGGACUAAGCAGGAAAGAAAUAGAUUGAACGGGCCAACCAGGUAUUUUAGGAUUUGGGCUGUCAACUUUAUAGUCUAACAGCAAUGGAAAUGUCUAAGAUGGAAACAAUCAAAACAGUCAAGUUGUCAACAAUUGCCAAUGAAUUCAGCAGCCUAAAUGAAACAAGCAAGGAAUGAGACUUAAGAAUUUAAAAAAGGGAUGAAGGACCCAGUUCUUCCAGCCUAAAGGAUUUUGAAAUCUCCGUUUGCUUAACCAAGGACAUGAAUGCCACAACUCCUGAAUGCAGAACUUAAUCCAGCAGCGUGCCUCCAGUAGAAAAUAAGCUGAAGUUCAAUGUAUUCUCUAUGAAGAAGAGGGAUGUACAGGAAAAUCUGCAGGCCUGGGUGUCAGCCCUGAGUCAGGACUCUGACUCUGUUGCUUCUUAGCUGUGGGACCAUGGUUGCAUGAUCAAGCUGACUUGAGGGUUCUGAACAGAAGCUGACCAGUCUACUGCACAUUGUAAAGAAGUUAAAAAGCUGGAUUGAAUUGCAAAAUGUACUACUCAAGGAGUCCAAAGAAUAAAAUAUGAGCAGCUUGUGGGGGUAAAGCAUUCGUAGGUAUAGUAUAGAAAAGGUCCAUGAGCAUCAUGUCAGUGUCUUUUAACUUUCCAUUGCAGUGGAAUAAUCCUUUAUGCGUUUAUGAAAAUCUUUGGAAAAGAAGCCACGUCACUGGGUGGUUCCUACUUAUUUUCCUCUCCAGGGGCCUUUGCUGCUCUUGCUGGGUGCCUCAGUUGCUAGCUUUGUGAGUAGUAAUGCCCCACUGUUCCCAGCUCCUUGCUUGCUGGGUGUGAGGACAGAGGCUAUCAUAGCAAUAAUUGCUGGAUGUUCUGUGUUUGCACAUCUGUGGUGGCCUUCUGAAUUGAGUUUCGUGCCAGAGCCAGGCAGCGCCUCCCUACCCCACCCUCCCACUGCCCCUUUAUUUUCUGUGUCACACCAUUAAAAGAAAUGAGAUUAUGGCACAAAUCAUCAUUCAUAUGACUCUAGCAUAGAAGGUUAGCGAGAUAUUGCAGAGAUAAUUCCAUAGCCACCAUGGCCCCUGACAAUAAUUACAAUGUGGCCACAGGGGAUUACCUUCUAAUAGGCUUUUGUUCACUCAAUUCAGAGUCUGUUGUGUGCUAGAGUUUGGAUAAUUAAAGUUGUGUCUCAGAAGCCACAUGUGGUAGCUCAUAAUUAUGUAGUCGAGUCUAACAGAAAACUGAGGUGACUGACACCCGGCCAGAGUGAAGAACAGGGGUCCUUGGUGACAACGAAGAAAGAAACCAGUCCCCUCAUUUGGGGACAGGGGAUUGGUGUUCACUCCAUAGCAUCAACUGCUUUAUUUAUUUUAAACAAAAAUGACUAAUUAUAGCCCUUUCUGGUCCAAUCCCUCACUCUCCACGGGGACUUUUCCUAACCCUUUCCUAUUGCUCCAACAAAAGAAUGGUAGCUGGUCUGAGCAAUGAAGAAAAUAUACAUGGCUUAUUUAAACAGCAUAAUGGUUUAAUUAUUUAAUCAUUUGCAUGUUGAGUGAUUUGCAUAAAAGCAGGAAAAGGCCCAUGUUGGAAUUUGGCCUGUAUCUCCCCCUGUUCCUCACUGGAGAAAAGAUUCUGAAACUUGGCCUCGUUGAAGCCCUUGAAUUUUAGAAAAAAAAUGUGAACUUUGAAAAACUUAGAUUUGUUAUUUCAAGGAUGCAAUAUUUGAAAAGAAAACAAAUCCAAAGACUAUAUCCCAUUGGGCCAUAUUUCUCAAGUCAGUCGAUGGCUGUCAAAGAAGCAAAGUAGUUAAUUUUCCCUGUAAAGUAUGCCCUUGAAAAGCCAUUCUCCUAAGUAUAGGCAGAAUGCUUUGCUAAGUGGGUGCCUUUUCAGCAUUCUAAGACUGGGUCCCACAUUUUCUAACGAUUCAUUGUGAAAGAGAUGGCUAUUUUACCAUUCUGCUUAAAAUCUGAAACUUUAGUUCAGCACAUCUCUUAUCUUAAAUCCUUGGAAUGUUUAGAAGAUUCUUGCAACGCACUUCUAAAAGGCUCUGAAUUUCUGAGCCUUAAAAGUAAAAUUCUGCUUUGUUCCAACAUAAGACAUUUUUCCUCCAAGUUUUGCCAGGUAGAGAACAAACCCCUUCAUUUUUUUCAACACUGUUGUCUCUUUUAAAGCACAGCAAAUUUAUUCUUCACCCAAUGUGGAAACAACAAUUGAUAUUCAAAACGCUACCCUUUCCUAAGGCUUUGCCUUCAUGAAAAUGAAACAUAUUUCGUACUGAGCACCAUAUGGUGUUUGUGAAGAGUGG
rnacentral:lncRNA from 1 species